CUACGGGCUGCACCAGUGAGGAAUAUUGCACAAUGGGGGGAACCCUGAUGCAGCAACGCCGCGUGGAGGAUGACGCAUUUCGGUGUGUAAACUCCUUUUAUAUGUCAAGAAAAUGACGGUAGCAUAUGAAUAAGCACCCGCUAACUCCGUGCCAGCAGCCGCGGUAAUACGGAGGGUGCAAGCGUUAAUCGGAAUCACUGGGCGUAAAGGACGCGUAGGCGGGUUGGAAAGUCAGGUGUGAAAUCCUACAGCUUAACUGUAGAACUGCACUUGAAACUUCUAAUCUAGAGUAUGGGAGGGGGAGAUGGAAUUAGUGGUGUAGGGGUAAAAUCCGUAGAUAUCACUAGGAAUACCUAAAGCGAAGGCGAUCUCCUGGAACAUUACUGACGCUAAGGCGUGAAAGCGUGGGGAGCAAACAGGAUUAGAUACCCCCGUAGUC
rnacentral:rRNA from 1 species